AUCCAGUUGACUAAUCCCAAAUAGGAUGAAAGGUGCGUCCUGGAU
rfam:Schistosoma mansoni strain Puerto Rico chromosome 5, complete genome